rnacentral:rRNA from 1 species
AUUGAACGCUGGCGGCAGGCCUAACACAUGCAAGUCGAGCGAGCGGCGGACGGGUGAGUAAGGUCUGGGAAACUACCUGCUGGCGGGGGAGAACUACUGGAAACGGUAACUAAUACCGCAUACCAUCAGAUGUGCCCAGAUGGGAGUAGCUAGUAGGGGGGGUAAUGGAUCACCUAGGCGACGAUCCCUAGCUGGUCUGAGAGGAUGACCAGCCACACUGGAACUGAGACACGGUCCAGACUCCUACGGGAGGCAGAAGGGGGGAAUAGUGCACAAUGGGCGCAAGCCUGAUGCAGCCAUGCCGCGUGAGUGAAGAAGGCCUUCGGGUUGUAAAGCACUUUCAGCGGGGAGGCGUUACCCGCAGAAGAAGCACCGGCUAACUCCGUGCCAGCAGCCGCGGUAAUAC